GACGAACGCUGGCGGCGUGCUUAACACAUGCAAGUCGAACGGAAAGGCCCUGCUUUUGUGGGGUGCUCGAGUGGCGAACGGGUGAGUAACACGUGAGUAACCUGCCCUUGACUUUGGGAUAACUUCACGAAACUGGGGCUAAUACCGGAUAGGAGCUCCUGCUGCAUGGUGGGGGUUGGAAAGUUUCGGCGGUUUGGGAUGGUCUCGCGGCUUAUCAGCUGGUUGGUGGGGUAGUUGAUUUCCAAGGCUUUGAGGGGUAGGCGGCCUGAGAGGGGGACCGGGCACCUGAGGACUGAGGUAGGCACCAGACUCCUACGGGAGGCAGCAGUGGGGAAUAUUGCACAAUGGGCGGAAGCCUGAUACAGCAACGCCGCGUGCGGGAUGACGGCCUACGAGUGGAAAACCGCUGUCGAAUGUGACGAGGAGUGAGUGACGGUAAUGGGUAAAGAAGCACCGGCUAACUACGUG
rnacentral:rRNA from 1 species